rnacentral:misc_RNA from 1 species
AAGUCGUAACAAGGUUUCCGUAGGUGAACCUGCGGAAGGAUCAUUAACACGUAUCCAACGUUAAAAACACCCCUGUGAACCCGUUAAUCUUGCUCCUCACGCCCUGCACGCCUAGCAAUCCCUGGUCUGACGUGACGCGAAGAAUGGUAUUGAUACUCCAUCUGCGUGGGAUGACAUGCGACGUAGCAAAUCACUUGGCUCCCCAAGCAACCAUGUUUCUAAAAGCGGCUCAUGGAAGCGUAAGGAGACGCUGUAACGUUUUGCUGUAGGCCAACACGGCCGGCAAUCCAAGUGGUUGUACUUCGGUACCCUCACAUCGGCACACCACCGAUGAUAUGUCAAUUUCGCGAAUGGACUAAAAGCCUCGCACCAAAAACCGAACAACUGUUAACAAUGGAUAUCUUGGUUCUC